GGCGUUAUUUUCGCGGAUAUUGAUAGAGUGUAUAAAUUGCACUGCUUCCAUUGGUUAGCGGACAUGACAACAUAGAACGGCACUAAACAGGAUCGCGUGCUUGGAAACAUUGUAACACUUUGUGGAGAAACGGAUUGGUUGUUAAACUGACGAAAAAGUAACGAGAGACACAAAAAGGAUAUGAAGGCUGUCGGGCAAAAAUCAUCUUCAAAAAUAAUGACUCUUGUCAUAGUUGCCAUGGUGACGUUGCUAGGUUAUGUAUCAACAUAUAGAAUAGAAUCAAAAAGUGGGUCAGGCGUACCUUGUGCAAAAUGUGAUGUGCAAGACAUACACCCGUUUCUUAUGAAAAAACUAGCACCGAUAUGCGCGGCCUGUGGUGACGUUUUCGGACAUGGAUACGAACAUUGUUGUCUGUGUCACGAAUACUUCUUCGAGCAAUGCAAAGAUGCUUUUAGAAAAUGAUUCACGGAAGGAAACAGGUCAACGUCAACAAAAUUAACAUAUCCAUCUGCAACCAAAAACGGCGCUUACAAAAGAUAUUCAUACUGCAAGAGCUGUAUGACACUCAAAUGAUGCACGGAUGAACUCUUUGGAAGCAUUAUACUGGACUUUUGCGCUCUUAUGAUUAUCAUUGCAAACAAUCUUUCUUUUCUCUUUCCUUCAAUUAAAGGAGUUUAUCACUUUAUUGAGAAAAGAAUAAUAAAACCUGCCACUACAUACAUUCACAACUGAACAUCUUAACUGAAUGACUGAUCACUAAUUCUCUCAUUGAUUGAUUGGUGUAUUUAUUUAUUUGUUACCCAACAAAGUGUUACAGUAAACAUGAACAACAUAAAUUUGA